rnacentral:rRNA from 1 species
UACGGAGGGUGCGAGCGUUGUCCGGAAUCACUGGGCGUAAAGGGCGCGUAGGCGGCCUGAUAAGUAGGGGGGUGAAAUCCUGCGGCUUAACCGCAGGGCUGCCUUCUAAACUGUCAGGCUGGAGCACAGUAGAGGCAGGUGGAAUUCCCGGUGUAGCGGUGGAAUGCGUAGAGAUCGGGAAGAACAUCAGUGGCGAAGGCGGCCUGCUGGGCUGUUGCUGACGCUGAGGCGCGACAGCGUGGGGAGCAAGCAGG